rnacentral:tRNA from 1 species
GGAAGGUCAAUCCGAUUGGCGACGGAAACUCUUUUGAAAAGAGUCGUGCUUUAAUCAGCCUUGAAGGUUCAACUCCUUCACCUUCCG